UUGUUUAUAUUUAUGCUCCGUUAAAGAGACUAUUACAUUCUUAGACUUAUGCGUUAAAAUUGGUGUAAAGUAGUUUGUGCACGGUGUAAAGGUAAAUGUAAUUGGUCGGACCUCUAAAAAGAACGCCCUUGAAUUCCAUUAAUGAUCCUUCCGCAGGUUCACCUACGGAAA
rnacentral:misc_RNA from 1 species